CUCAUCGACUUUUGCGCCUCUYGCAGUCAACUCGCAUAGUGCACGACUACCCUGUCGUAUAAUCUAAAAUGAGAUUUGCCCAACUGACACAGUUCCCUGCAGUGCCCCAGUAAGAAGAAAGCUGUGACCUCCACUUCUGACACACAGCUGGAGACAAAUAUAGGAACUGCUUAAUUAAGGGCCUGGCUUGGGCCAUCAGGGUUCACGGUCUGCUUAGACAAUAUUGAUUUUCCAGCAGAGAGGUGAGAAGAACUCUCACAACUGGAAAAAAAAUAGAAAUGUCUUUUCUUCAAAUGUCUGCAAGAGCUGAGUGCAAAGAGGGUUCUCCUGAAUCAACAUUGGAAUGAAAGGACAUAUCAAGUGAUAAAACAAAUCAGGAUCUUGGAGAGAGCUGGCAUGAUGAUAUUUUGUGUAAGAAAUGAGAUGCAGCCAACGGCACCUCGACGCAUCAAAGCAGAGGGAUCCGGGACUGCUGUGGCUAUGGGACUCCAGACGGACU